CCUACGGGUGGCAGCAGUGAGGAAUAUUGGUCAAUGGGCGCGAGCCUGAACCAGCCAAGUAGCGUGAAGGAUGACUGCCCUACGGGUUGUAAACUUCUUUUAUAAAGGAAUAAAGUGAGGCACGUGUGCCUUUUUGUAUGUACUUUAUGAAUAAGGAUCGGCUAACUCCGUGCCAGCAGCCGCGGUAAUACGGAGGAUCCGAGCGUUAUCCGGAUUUAUUGGGUUUAAAGGGAGCGUAGAUGGGUUGUUAAGUCAGUUGUGAAAGUUUGCGGCUCAACCGUAAAAUUGCAAUUGAUACUGACAACCUUGAGUACAGUUGAGGUAGGCGGAAUUCGUGGUGUAGCGGUUAAAUGCCUAGAUAUCACCAAGAACUCCGAUUGCGAAGGCAGCUUACUAAACCUGCACUGACAUUGAUGCUCGAAAGUGUGGGUAUCAAACAGGAUUAGAUACCCGAGUAGU
rnacentral:rRNA from 1 species